UACAGAGGUCCCAAGCGUUGUUCGGAUUUACUGGGCGUAAAGAGCGCGCAGGCGGUCGAUCAAGUCGAGUGUGAAAGCCCCCGGCUCAACUGGGGAGGGUCAUUCGAUACUGAUCGACUCGAAGGCAGGAGAGGGUAGUGGAAUUCCCGGUGUAGUGGUGAAAUGCGUAGAUAUCGGGAGGAACACCAGUGGCGAAGGCGACUACCUGGCCUGUUCUUGACGCUGAGGCGCGAAAGCUAGGGGAGCAAACGGG
rnacentral:rRNA from 1 species